rnacentral:rRNA from 1 species
UGGGGAAUAUUGGACAAUGGGCGAAAGCCUGAUCCAGCCAUGCCGCGUGUGUGAAGAAGGUCUUCGGAUUGUAAAGCACUUUAAGUUGGGAGGAAGGGCAGUAAGCGAAUACCUUGCUGUUUUGACGUUACCGACAGAAUAAGCACCGGCUAACUCUGUGCCAGCAGCCGCGGUAAUACAGAGGGUGCAAGCGUUAAUCGGAAUUACUGGGCGUAAAGCGCGCGUAGGUGGUUCGUUAAGUUGAAUGUGAAAGCCCCGGGCUCAACCUGGGAACUGCAUCCAAAACUGGCGAGCUAGAGUAGGGCAGAGGGUGGUGGAAUUUCCUGUGUAUCGGUGAAAUGCGUAGAUAUAGGAAGGAACACCAGUGGCGAAGGCGACCACCUGGGCUCAUACUGACACUGAGGUGCGAAAGCGUGGUGAGCAAACAGG